GGAGGAAUAGCUCAGUGGGUAGAGUGCUUGCCUUGCAUGCAUGAGGCCCUGGGUUCAAACCCCAACCCCAUCU
rnacentral:tRNA from 1 species